CUGUAAUGGACUUAAUAUAUAGGAACAGCAUCACGUCCACUUCUCUGUGAACUGCUUCCCAAUAGAUCCUUGUUCAUAUUAGGCCUCUAUUAGCUGAUGUAAAAGAAGACAAUAAAACCUAGGCAUGGAUGAUGAGUGACACAGCAAGCAAGGUCUCCUGGAUUGAGUGACCUAUUCCAGUCACAGACUGACUCACCCUGUCCUCACUGACCAUGAUCUGUCUCGCUUGCUGGAUUCCACCUGCUGUCAAGAAUAAGAAAUUCACAGACCUGUCAACGCUGGCCUCUUCAACCUGUCUACAGUGUCUGAUGUAACAGCACAGCCUGGCCCGCUCUAUAU